rnacentral:rRNA from 1 species
CCUACGGGUGGCAGCAGGGGGGAAUAUUGCACAAUGGGGGAAACCCUGAUGCAGCGACGCCGCGUGAAGGAAGAAGUAGUUCGGUAUGUAAACUUCUAUCAGCAGGGAAGAAAAUGACGGUACCUGACUAAGAAGCCCCGGCUAAGUACGUGACAGAAGACGCGGUAAUACGUAGGGGGCAAGCGUGAACCGGAUUGACUGGUGUAAAGGGAGCGGAGGGGGUUCAGGAAGUCAGAAGUGAAAGCCCGGGGCGCAACGCCGGGACUGCUUUUGAAACUGGUGAACUAGAUUGCAGGAGAGGUAAGUGGAAUUCCUAGUGUAGCGGUGAAAUGCGUAGAUAUUAGGAGGAACACCAGUGGCGAAGGCGGCUUACUGGACUGUAAAUGACGCUGAGGCUCGAAAGCGUGGGGAGCAAACAGGAUUAGAUACCCGAGUAGUC